CACCGUCUUGGUCCUGGACUUACUAUUGUUUUUGGCCACUAUUACACAUGCAAGCCUCCACACCCCCGUGCCCAGCCCCAGAAGUCUACCCCAAGACUAGACCAGGAGAUGAUAUCAGGCACAACCCCACCUUUAGCCCACGACGUCUAGCCCCGCCACACCCCCACGGACCUCAGCAGUGAUAAACAUUGAGCAAUAGGCCCAUAUAUUAAGCCUGACUCAGCCAUGGCCAUCCAGGGCCGGUAAACUCCGUGCCAGCCACCGCGGUUAUACGAAGAGCCCAAAACAAUCACCCCACGGCAUAAAAUGUGACUAGAACUUAACAACAAAGAAGCCCUAAACCCUAACUUUAAAGCUGUAAAAAGCAUAUGUCCACUGGAAUCCCACCGAGUUUCUACUACUGCACGCUUUGACCUCACGAAAACUGAGACAUAAACUAGGAUUAGAUACCCUACUAUACUCAGCCAUAAACCAAGAUGUUUCCCCAUGCCACUAUCUGCCAGAGAACUACAAGUGAAAAACUUCAAACUCUAAGGACUUGACGGUGCCCCACACCGGCCUAGAGGAGCCUGUCCUUUAAUCGAUACUCCACGCUUUACCCGACCCCCCCUAGCCCCCAGCCUAUAUACCGCCGUCGCCAGCCCACCUAUUGAUAGAAACAAGAGUCGGCACAACAGCAUCUCGCUAACACGUCAGGUCAAGGUGUAGCUAAUGGGGCGGACAGAGAUGGGCUACAUUUACUGACCCCAGUAAACAUUCAACCACAGGCCACAUGAAAUAUAAGGCUAACAGGCGGAUUUAGCAGUAAACUCUGGGGUAAGACUUACCCAGUUGAACCCCGCUCUGGGGCGCGUACACACCGCCCGUCACCCUCCUCAACAUACAUACAAUAAACCCCAUAGAAAUAACCACCACACAUCAGAUGAGGCAAGUCGUAACAUGGUAAGCUUACUGGAAAGUGAGCUUGGCCUAACC
rnacentral:ncRNA from 1 species